rnacentral:rRNA from 1 species
UACGGGGGGAGCAAGCGUUGUUCGGAUUUAUUGGGCUUAAAGGGCGCGUAGGCGGGCUGCCAAGUCCGGGGUGAAAUCUUUCGGCUCAACCGGAAAAUAGCCUCGGAGACUGGCGGUCUGGAGGGGGGUAGGGGCAGCUGGAACUUCCGGUGGAGCGGUGAAAUGCGUUGAUAUCGGAAGGAACGCCGGUGGCGAAAGCGAGCUGCUGGACCUUUUCUGACGCUGAGGCGCGAAAGCCAGGGGAGCAAACGGG